CAGGAAAAGCAUGCUCACAUGAACAGAAUGAAAAACAAAACAUGAAUGAAAAUGUAAACAGUUUAGUUAACAGUAAAUAAACCUCAGGACAUCAGCAAAUGUUCGUAGAUAUGGAACAGAAGAAUUUAUACUUACAGAAAAGUUUUGUAUUUUAUUGAAUUUUGAAGGAGUUAGAGAGAAGGUAUAGUGAUUACAAGAAAAGAGAUACAAUGGUGCUCAACACAUGAGCUUCCUAAAACAAACAGAGGUUUCUUUAGUAGAGUUAUGUUAAACUCUUUCCAAGACUCUGUCUUCAGUUUGGCUCCCCCUUAAAUGAAGAAAAAUUCCCCUUUUAAAGAAGUCCGAAUUGUAGUUUUGUCAUUUUGAAAAUCACUGUGCAGUUCGCGAGUGCUAUCUGGGAGCAUCUUCUGCUGGAAUUUUGAAAAUCGCUGUGUAGUCCGUGAGUGCUUGAUGGAAGCAUCUGUUGCAAAGCUGAAAAGGUCACAUGCAAUUACUGUUGUGGUAACUGACAGGGAACAAUAAUUCUAUUUUUUUUAUAGAGUUCACAUGCAGUUACUAUUUUAGAGUGUCGGUAAGUGUUGCCAACCGACAGAAUAGGGUACAAAAUUUUUUUUGAAUCUUUUCCCUUUUUUUUUGUACUUUUUUUUAGGAAGAAGAACGUUUGAUUGGAGAAAAGAUUCCGUAAUAGUCAUCUUCAUUUUCAUCAUUGAGGUCGAUAAUGAGUUGUGAAUCUGAAUCUGUUACAAAUGAAUCAGACCUACUAUGUAGAAGUUGUUUUAUAAUUACGAAGUAUUCUUCUUCUGUUUUGGCUGCUACAAGCUUGGCUGAAGUAUGAGAUUUUUG
rnacentral:misc_RNA from 1 species